AAUAUUACCAGGCAGGGGAGAUAUCAUGACCAUGAAGGUGGUUUUCCUAGGCAGAGACUUAUCCAUUGCUCUUCAGAUGUGCUGACCCCUGCGAUUUUCCCAAAUGUGGGAAAUUCAACUCUAUGAUUUGUCAUACUGCUUCCCCUUGGAAAAAAAUU
ensembl:snRNA U1 U1 spliceosomal RNA